AGGUAAGCUACUAAGAGCGAAUGGUGGAUGCCUUGACUGGUAAAGGCGAUGAAGGACGUACUAGACUGCGAUAAGCUACGGGGAGCUGUCAAGAAGCUUUGAUCCGUAGAUUUCCGAAUGGGGCAACCCAAUGUAUAGAGAUAUACAUUACCUAUAUAGGAGCGAACGAGGGGAAUUGAAACAUCUUAGUACCCUCAGGAAAAGAAAUCAAUAGAGAUUGCGUCAGUAGCGGCGAGCGAAAGCGUAAGAGGGCAAACCCAGUGCUUGCACUGGGGGUUGUAGGACUGCAAUGUGCAAGAGGUGAGUUUAGCAGAACAUUCUGGAAAGUAUAGCCAUAGAGGGUGAUAGUCCCGUAUGCGAAAAACAAACCUUAGCUAGCAGUAUCCUGAGUAGGGCGGGACACGAGAAAUCCUGUCUGAAGCUGGGUCGACCACGAUCCAACCCUAAAUACUAAUACCAGAUCGAUAGUGCACAAGUACCGUGAGGGAAAGGUGAAAAGAACUGAGGUGAUCAGAGUGAAAUAGAACCUGAAACCAUUUGCUUACAAUCAUUCAGAGCACUAUGUAGCAAUACAGUGUGAUGGACUGCCUUUUGCAUAAUGAGCCUGCGAGUUGUGGUGUCUGGCAAGGUUAAGCAAACGCGAAGCCGUAGCGAAAGCGAGUCUGAAUAGGGCGCUUAGUCAGAUGCUGCAGACCCGAAACGAAGUGAUCUAUCCAUGAGCAAGUUGAAGCUAGUGUAAGAACUAGUGGAGGACUGAACCCAUAGGCGUUGAAAAGCCCCGGGAUGACUUGUGGAUAGGGGUGAAAGGCCAAUCAAACUUCGUGAUAGCUGGUUCUCUCCGAAAUAUAUUUAGGUAUAGCGUUGUGUCGUAAUAUAAGGGGGUAGAGCACUGAAUGGGCUAGGGCAUACACCAAUGUACCAAACCCUAUCAAACUCCGAAUACCUUAUAUGUAAUCACAGCAGUCAGGCGGCGAGUGAUAAAAUCCGUCGUCAAGAGGGAAACAACCCAGACUACCAGCUAAGGUCCCUAAAUCUUACUUAAGUGGAAAACGAUGUGAAGUUACUUAAACAACCAGGAGGUUGGCUUAGAAGCAGCCAUCCUUUAAAGAAAGCGUAAUAGCUCACUGGUCUAGUGAUUUUGCGCGGAAAAUAUAACGGGGCUAAAGUA
rnacentral:rRNA from 1 species